UCAGGACGAACGCUGGCGGCGUGCCUAACACAUGCAAGUCGAACGAAGCUUGAAUUCAGAUUCUUCGGAAUGACGAAUGAUAUGACUGAGUGGCGGACGGGUGAGUAACGCGUGAGCAACCUGCCCUUCGGAGGGGGAUAGUGUCUGGAAACGGACAGUAAUACCGCAUAACGUACAGAGACGGCAUCGUCAUUGUACCAAAGAUUUAUCGCCGAGGGAUGGGCUCGCGUCUGAUUAGGUAGUUGGUGGGGUAACGGCCUACCAAGUCGACGAUCAGUAGCCGGACUGAGAGGUUGAUCGGCCACAUUGGGACUGAGACACGGCCCAGACUCCUACGGGAGGCAGCAGUGGGGGAUAUUGCACAAUGGGCGCAAGCCUGAAUGCAGCAACGCCGCGUGGAGGAAGACGGUUUUCGGAUUGUAAACUCCUGUUCUUAGGGAAGAAGACAGUGACGGUACCUAAGGAGCAAGCCACGGCUAACUACGUGCCAGCCGCGGC
rnacentral:rRNA from 1 species